rnacentral:rRNA from 1 species
UAGCAUAUCUAUAGCGGAGGAAAAGAAACCAACAGGGAUUGCCCCCAGUAACGGCGAGUGAGCGGCAAAAGCUCAAAUUUGAUAUCUGGCUCCUUAGGGGUCCGAGUUGUAAUUUGUAGAGGAUGCUUCGGGUGCGGCCACGGCCUAAGUUCCUUGGAACAGGACGUCAUAGAGGGUGAGAAUCCCGUCUUGGGUCGUUGGUCCACGCCCGUGUGAAGCUCCUUCGACGAGUCGAGUUGUUUGGGAAUGCAGCUCUAAGCGGGUGGUAAAUUUCAUCUAAAGCUAAAUAUUGGCCGGAGACCGAUAGCGCACAAGUAGAGUGAUCGAAAGGUUAAAAGCACCUUGAAAAGGGAGUUAAACAGCACGUGAAAUUGUUGAAAGGGAAGCGCUUGCGGCCAGACUCAGGCGCAGGGUUCAGCGGGUGCGUGUCACCCGUGCACUCCCUGCCGCCUGGGCCAGCAUCAGUUCUGACGGCCGGUCAAAGGCCCCCGGAAUGUGUCGUCUCUCGGGACGUCUUAUAGCCGGGGGUGCAAUGCGGCCCGUCGGGACUGAGGAACGCGCUUCGGCUCGGAUGCUGGCAUAAUGGCCGUAAGCGGCCCGUCUUGAAACACGGACCAAGGAGUCUAACAUCCACGCGAGUGUUCGGGUGUCAAACCCGUGCGCGCAGUGAAAGCGAACGGAGGUGGGAGCCUUAGGGCGCACCAUCGACCGAUCCUGAAGUCUUCGGAUGGAUUUGAGUAGGAGCGUGGCCGUUGGGACCCGAAAGAUGGUGAACUAUGCCUGAAUAGGGUGAAGCCAGAGGAAACUCUGGUGGAGGCUCGCAGCGGUUCUGACGUGCAAAUCGAUCGUCAAAUUUGGGCAUAGGGGCGAAAGACUAAU